rnacentral:rRNA from 1 species
UACGGGGGGGGCGAGUGUUGUUCGGAAUCACUGGGCGUAAAGGGAGCGUAGGCGGGCUCUUAAGUUGGAUGUUUAAAACCGGGGCCCAACCCCGGCGUGGCAUCCAAAACUGGGAGUCUUGAAUGGAACAGAGGCUAGUGGAAUUGGAGGUGUAGCGGUGGGAUGCGUAGAGAUCUCCAAGAACACCCGUUGCGAAGGCGGCUAGCUGGGUUCACAUUGACGCUGAGGCUCGAAAGCGUGGGGAGCAAACAGG